rnacentral:lncRNA from 1 species
UCUAUCAUAGUAGGGGUUAGGUACGAUCCAUAUAGAUAACGAGUUUAAAAGAUACGAAAAGGAAGUAUUUAGGUUUAAUAUUACAUCACCAAAAGAAAAUAACCAAAAGUUUCUAGCAUCGUUCAUAGGUCCUCGUACGUCUUCCAAAAUUCCGGGCAAGACCUCGAUCCGCUACUCGAUCCAUCCCGGUUGAGGAUUACUAC